UACGUAGGGUGCGAGCGUUGUCCGGAAUUAUUGGGCGUAAAGAGCUCGUAGGUGGUCUGUUGCGUCGGCUGUGAAAACCCGAGGCUCAACCUCGGGCCUGCAGCCGAUACGGGCAGACUAGAGUUCGGCAGGGGAGACUGGAAUUCCUGGUGUAGCGGUGAAAUGCGCAGAUAUCAGGAGGAACACCGGUGGCGAAGGCGGGUCUCUGGGCCGAUACUGACACUGAGGAGCGAAAGCGUGGGGAGCGAACAGG
rnacentral:rRNA from 1 species